rnacentral:rRNA from 1 species
GUGCCAGCAGCCGCGGUAAGACGGGGGGGGCAAGUGUUCUUCGGAAUGACUGGGCGUAAAGGGCACGUAGGCGGUGAAUCGGGUUGAAAGUGAAAGUCGCCAAAAACUGGUGGAAUGCUCUCGAAACCAAUUCACUUGAGUGAGACAGAGGAGAGUGGAAUUUCGUGUGUAGGGGUGAAAUCCGCAGAUCUACGAAGGAACGCCAAAAGCGAAGGCAGCUCUCUGGGUCCCUACCGACGCUGGAGUGCGAAAGCAUGGGGAGCGAACGGGAUUAGAUACCCUGGUAGUCC